CAUACACACACACACACACACACACACACAUACACACCCCAAACAAAAACAUAAAAGCCAAACUCAUAAAAAACUCUAUCAACCAAUGGGCCUCAAGUUACUCUUUUCUUACAUGUACACACUUUCUUAACUUCCUUCUCCCUUCUUUUCCUUUCCAUUAUUUCUUCCUUUUCCCUUUUCCUCUCUUCCAAUGCAUGCUUAAUUAUCUCCAGAAAAAUCUUUCUCUGUUAUUGCUCAUUUUCCACCCCAACUAUAAGUUAAAAAUUAUUCUUAUCAUUAUUGAUGAAAACAAAGUUAACAUUAGGGAAUACCAGUAAUAAGGGAAGGGAAAGGCACUAGUUUUAAAACUUAACGUAACUGUACAGCUAAUGCAUGUUGUUACAUAUUCAAGUGAAAUUAGGAUCUAAUAGAGAACUGGUGGUAACCAUCUCCAAAGACCUUGAAAAAGCUCAGCAGUCCUUUUCAGAAUGCUCAUAAACAUCUUAUCAUCUUUGUUUCGUCAUCCAAUUAAAUCUAUUAUACCUAGAGCAUUUAAGAGUAGUAAACUAUCUUUUAUUCUAUUUGACUUUCCAUUUUCUUUAAUUACUACUAUGAAACAGUGUUGUUUAUUGCUAUAUUUCAUUGCAAAUAUUUCAGAUAUGUUAUAAGCCUAAAUUGAGCUUUUGUACAUUCUUUUUUUUUUCAGGAUAAACCUAAUCUUCAUUUAUUACUUCUAGGGUAAUACUCAUCUUAAGUUUCAAAAAUAUGACAUGUAAAUAAACACUGGGGAAACAACUCACUAUAAAUUGGCAAUUUUCUGUGUGGUGAAUAAACAGAAAUACCAUAAGACAUACUCUCCUAUAUUCACAGACUUCAUUUAGUUAGUAAGAUUAGGUCAAAUAUGUGGGUGUGAAUUUAAAUCAAAUUUCUAGCUUAAUAUAGAAUUACAGAAAUUCAGUAGUAUCUCAACUUAAUUGAUAUCUCAUUAUUUUAGUCAUAUGUUCUCAUUUUUCAUUUUAAAUUCAAUUUCUUUUAUGCCUGAAGUUCGGAUUCCAAUGUUUUAAAGGUUAGAUUCAUGACUCUAUGCUAAAUAGAAGGGCAUACUGGAUUUGUUUCUCUUUUGGAUAGGGUUGGGAGUGGUGUCUGGCAAAAUGCCUUUUCCAUUAAAUAAUAAAAUAAGAAAAAUUUAUUAUUGCUGAUGAAUUCAGGGAGUUUGCUUACUGGAAGUAGUCAAGUAGUCUGAUACAGAAAUACACAUUGCAGUAAGAACCAUAACAUUGCUAGGUUUGUAAUAUAAGAGCUGCUAAAUAUAUUUUGAAUAUCACAAAGACUGCAUUUCUUGCCUGGAGCAUACUCUUUGUUAUACUCUCCGUCUCAUACUCUUAUCUUUUUCAUGAGGAGCAGUGAAUCUCAAUAAAAUCUAUGGAUUGUGUUAUGUUUAAAGGCUCCUAACUGAACCAAUAUGUUCACAGAUAGGAUCAACAAUAUAAGUGUAAACCUUUGAAAUUUAGAUGGAAGUGGAAGCUGCCUAAUAAAACUCUGGUGCUGAAUUUUAUACAACAUAUACCAGUGUUUUAAUUUUGUAUUCAGGUCUCAAAGGACUAGAAGACAAACUGAACACAUCUGCAAUUUUCUGGAUUAAACUAUUAUAGUUUUAUGUAAAAACUCUGAAUGAACUUAAGGUUUAUGUAUUGUAAAGGCAUUGUGUAAUGGUUAUUCAUUUCAUUUCUUUGUUAAGAGCCUUUAUCUAAUGUUGAAAUUUUGAAUUAAAAGUUUUAUGUUUACACCUAUUUAGUUGGAUCAUUAGUUCAAGAUGCAGACUAAGGAAGCUAGAUAGUUAUAAAGUAUGUUUCAUUCAACAUUUUUUUAGAGCAUUGGUAUCUAACGCUGUAUUUGUAAGACCAUCAGUUAUCAAGCCAUGUAAGUGCUCAAUUCCUUUUGAAGCUUUCGAGGGGUAUUAUAAUUAAGUUUUCAGAAUUGCUUUAGGAUCAUACAAUUCUUUUGUGCUUUAUUUUCAUUAACAAAAUAGUAAUUAAAAUUAAAUUUUAAAAGAAAUAACCACAGUAGGUCAUACGUUUAUUAACUUGAGGUAGAUAAUGAACCUGUCCUAUAUAAAGACUGAGCUAAAUCUGCUGAGAGGCUGUGGAUAGUGUAUUUUAAUUAAGGUAAUCCUUAUUUGCAUCUAACAAACAGCAUUGCUACUUAGACAUUUAAGACCCUAGUGAUGCAUAUUAGUACAUUACCUCAACAUAUCUAAUAGAGAUUUAAUACUUGUGUUUUAAGGAGCAAUUUGUCAUAAAUUAAGAGUAUUUGCAUAGUAAAUUUCAAGGAUAUUAUUCUUUUCAGAGUUUUCUAUAAUUAAGCAACACAUUAAACAUUAAAAUUUUAUAAUUUUGUAGUGCUAGGAAUGCUUACUUUGUUAUUAAACUGAGCCUCAUUUUCAGCUGCACAUAACUCUAUGGAAAAAUUCUAUUUUAAUAAAGACAUAAUGAACAUACUGUCACUAAGAUUUUUUUCCUCUUAAAUCUGAGUGAUGGCCUACGUGUUUAAAGAAUGUUUUAGCAUGCAAAAUGCAACUCAGAAGACAUUCAUUCAGUUGGAUGGAGAGUAUUUAAUCAUUUAAAAAGGAGACCAAAGAGACUUAUCCCAACCAUACUGCUAAAUACUUAUGAGCUUCAUCAUAUAUAAAUUAAGUGUUCUCUAAUUGGGAGUAUGGAUAGAAUCUUUCUUUAGUCAAUUAAGUGUUUAUAGUAUUAGUAUCUAUUUUAGUUAGUUAGAGUAAAGGAAUUAAAAAGACCAUUUUAAUUAAGAAUGACAACUUUAUUCUCAAGGUCCUUUUUAUUUUGAUGGUUAACAGGAUAAUUUUAGCAUUUGCAUCUUAUUGAUCCAGAGAGAACGAUUUUAUGAAAUAUACCUUAGAAAUAAGGCUCAACAGUUGAGUUCACCUGUGGUCAUGUAGAUUUGACUUGUCGUGAAGGCCUCUGUCACUUAGACAUCUUUACGUGGGAGAAACUUAGGUAGGGCAUGAAGGGCAAGAUUCCUUUCCUACAAAGAAAUAAUUGAUACCUUGUUCAGCUUACUUUAGACUUCUGUGUGUUCUUUGUGCUCAUCAUCUUCUCCCAUAAACUAACUAACUCCCUUUGCCUUUCCAACCAAGAGAAAAAGAUCUAGAAAAUGUUUUCCCUCAGUAUCUAGAGAGUUCAUUUCAUUGGCUCCCCUUGCUUGUAGCAGUUUAAAAGAUUCCCCACAGCAGGGAAUGCAAGUGUUUCACUCAAUGAGUGUGAUGUUUCAAAGAACUAAAUUCAAAUUAUAUGGGUGUGGGUGCUCUAUAUGUGGUCAUUUUUAGUUCAGUUUUGCAUCAGUUUUAAUAACAAUGUUAAAAUAUUUAGAUACUUAGUUGUAUCAUGUUGGAGCCAAUAUAGAAGGUAUUAUUUCAAAUUGUUUUACAAAUAAGAAAUAUUAUCAAUAUAUUUAUUAUUCUUAUGUACAAUUGGCUAAAAGUAUCUAAUAAUUAUAAUGUAUAAAAACUAGUUACAUCUGAGAGGUAACAGUAAUAAAAUAUUAUUUGAAUUCUUUCAUUACAAGGGCAAGUUGAAGUUGUGGAAAUAACCGACUGCUGAAGAGACUCCGUUGUGGGUUCAAAUCUCAAUAUUGUGAUUCCUGGCUGGGUAAUCUUGGGCCUUAAUUUUUACAUUUGAACAUUGGAAAUCACAUUGCAAGGAGAGAACAGACUUGUUUGUCCAGAACAAACACACAGAGCCGAGAGAUCAGGAAACGGUGGGACCAGGGAGCCAGACUCUGCUUUGCUUAACAUGAUUGGAAGGAGUGACUCCAACAGCCAGUCACCACGAGGCGUCUCAGUGUCUGGGGAGAAUUCGUGUGAACUGUCAGCUGAAAGCAUUGACAGCUUCCCAUUAGUAAUGAAUUAUGGAAAUAAUUUUAUUAAUUUCUUCACCUCAAUCAGUACAUGUUAGUGAAAGUUGCUCAUCCAAACAUCAAAGAACCAUUGCAUUUUAACCUUUUAGUCUUUUACCGUGUAACCAGGAACAGCAAAGAAAUAAAUUAGUGUAGCAUUCCUUUAAAAAAAAUGCCUGGAGAUAAGGAGUGGACAUAAUUUUUUCUGUUUUUAAUUUAAUAGCAGGUUUAUGGUUUUAUGCAAAACCAUUCACAUUACAUUUGACCCUCUGGGAGCUGCUUUUUUUUCUGUGGAUAUAAUUUUGAGUCUUUAAUAAUCCGUUGUUAAACCCAGUCUGAGUUUGAUUAAUGAAUUGUGAUGAACCGGUGCAUUAAUUUGCAGGUUUGGUCUAAUGCCCUAAAAGGCUGCUUUGUUGCAGGUUAUUAAUGCUCAGCUCUUCAAGAGGAGCCAUGGGGUGGCGACAGUGUGUCCCGUAAUGAACAAGCUACACAUUUGAGCAGUCCCAGUGAUAGAGCUGCAGCUCUAGAAGUCACCAUGGAGCUAUGUUAUUGAAAGAAAGAAAAUCCUGAUUUAGCUUAAUGCCCUAAACAGGGGGCCACAGACCUCCAGCUCCACAGGUCUCCGGAUGGAAUUCAGGGGGAAUCUGUGAAUUUUGAUAGGAAAAAAAUCUUUUAUUAACCUCUAACUGAAAUUUAACAUCAUUCAAUUAUGAAUGUAGGUGACAACCAUAGUAUUCUUAGCCGUGUCUGUGACUUUGUCAUCUCUGGAAAUCAUAGAUAUUUCCGUAACACGUUAUAGAGGUGCAAGUACCUCACCAUGUCAUUUGUAUUUGUCGCUACCACAGAAUUAUAGUAAAUAUGAGGACAGCUGCCUGACUUAUUUAAUGUAAUAAAGAAGUACAUAUAUUA